rnacentral:rRNA from 1 species
AUGGCUCAGGAUGAACGCUGGCGGCGUGCCUAACACAUGCAAGUCGAACGAAGCACUUCUGAUCGGAGAUCGUCGAAGAUUGGAUUGACUUAGUGGCGGACGGGUGAGUAAUGUAUGAGCAACCUGCCUUCAGAGGGGGACAACAGUUGGAAACGACUGCUAAUACCGCAUAAUGUAUUGAGACGGCAUCGUCAUGAUACCAAAGGAGCAAUCCGCUGAAAGAUGGGCUCAUAUCUGAUUAGUUAGUUGGCAGGGUAACGGCCUACCAAGACUGCGAUCAGUAGCCGGACUGAGAGGUUGAACGGCCACAUUGGGACUGAGAUACGGCCCAGACUCCUACGGGAGGCAGCAGUGGGGAAUAUUGGGCAAUGGGCGAAAGCCUCGACCCAGCAACGCCGCGUGAAGGAAGAAGGUCUUCGGAUUGUAAACUUCUUUUAUGAGGGACGAAGGACGUGACGGUACCUCAUGAAUAAGCCACGGCUAACUACGUGCCAGCCGCCGC